UUGGUCAAGGUCCAUCCAGUACUGCUAUAUGCAUGUUGAAUCCUCCCAUUCUGAGGACAAAACCUUAGAGAUUGAUCUCGAUGACUGGGAUGUCAGAUUUCUGAAGGUCAACGAUGGCAUGCUAUUUGAUCUCAUUAAAGCUUCAAACUACUUGAACGUCGAGAGUCUGCUGGAUCUGGCGACCCAGAAAGUAGGAGACAUGAUGAGAUGGAAGACUCCUGAGGAAAUUCGCAUGAUGUUUAACAUUAAGGAUGAAUUUGACCCCAAAGCUUUUGAUGAUGAUUUUGAGGAUUACUUGUUGAAUGCAUGAAGGUUUGAUCUAUUUGCCAAUUGUAAUUGGACCGAAGCGCUAAAGUUGACGGAAAGAAGCUGCCACCGUUGAUUGAGACGAGAUGUUUGACUUCCACCCUGAUCGGACCGACGGCGAUGACAGGGACCGAAAGGCCAACUUCUAACAGGACUAGACCAACGGUGAUGACGGGGACAGUAUGGCCAACUUCCACCAAUACCAGACCAACGGUGAUAGCGAGAACCGAAUGACUGACUAUCAUAGGGACUGGACUAACAGCAACGACAGGGACGGGACAACUGACUUUUAUUGGGAUCGGACUGACGGCGAUGACGGGGAUCGGAUUGCCGACUUCUACCAGGAUCGGACCGAUGAUGACGAUGGGGAUUAGAUGACCGACUUCCACCAAGACCUGACUGACGGUGACAAUGGGAUCGGAUGCUCAAUUUCCACCAGGACAGGACUGACGACGACGAUGUGGACCAGACGUUUGACUUUCAUCGGCACCGAAUUGGACCGACGGUCACUAGACUGGAGGCGAUGGCAACGGAAGGCGACCAUCUGGUCGUCACUCGGUGGAAGUUGGACUUUCAAUCACCAUCAUCGCCGUCAAUUUGGUUCAAUGGAAUUCGGCCAUUCGAUGUCCGUCAUCGCUGUCGGUGUAAUAUCCUAGGAAUUUUUAGUAUAAUUAUAAUAUUGUGUUUUAAAGGUAUUUUAGUAAUUUUGGAGUAAAUAGAGCAAGAAAUAAGAUCUGGCUUGGUGGAGAUAGUGUAGCCAUUUAAUUAGGAGGUCUAAAGUUGGAACCUUAAGGAGGUUAAGAGUACAAAUUUUAUUUUUUUGCUUCAGCUCUUCCCAGAAUUACCAUUAUGCCCUUCUUUAAAUUUGAAUAUAUGUCCUCCUUUCAUUCUUCAAUUUUUCCAGAACCAUCUGUGAGUGAGAAGGCCUCAAUUUUUUGCUGAUACUUUGUCCUCCAUUGCACUUCGUCUCUUCCCUUCCAUUUCUAGUGGUCGCUGGUGAAGGUGGAGGCUCGCCAUAGUUGUGUGCACCCAAAGCUCAGUCGUGCUUUCUGUCUCUAUUUAUCUCCUUCGUUUUUGUUCAGUCCUUGUUGUUCAUGCAUGUGUUGCUGAUGGGUGUGAGAAUCAGGUCGUUGGUGUUGCAAAUGUGUGCUGUGGUCAUCCACUACUAGAAGCUCAGGUCAUGAAUCCAUGGUCUUUCAAUUUGCCAUCGAUCUCUGUAUUUUUUUUACUAUUUGUGAUGUUGAAUCUUCUUCUUUCUCCUUCAUUCUUCCUAUUCGUGAGUUAUUUAUAAGUGGAGAGCUAAUUUGAUGAUGUUGCAAGGCUGAUUUAUGGGUAAGAGGCUGAUUUAAUGCUGUUAUCUUCUUCCCCUGUUUAGUUGUGGUUUCAUUUUUUU